AUAUUUUGGGAUCGGGUCUCAAUUUGACCCUAAAACUUGUACCACCAUUAGGGUUGGGGUAUAAUCGAGCCCACCCAUUGACACUCUGGGCCGACCCGUUGACUCUCCCUCUCUCAGUCUCUCUCCCAUUCUCUCUCCCCUCUCUGCGCGCAUAGCACUGCAGGAUGAAAAAACCCUAGGUUUGACGUCGUCGUCGUCCUCUUCGUCGCCCUCGAUCUCCGAAUCGUCCUCGUACUGGAACACCCAGCGGGACUCCGUCGAGUCCAUGGACCCCAUGCCGACCACCGCCUCUCCCCUCUCCGAUUCGCCGUCCUCCGCCAUACACUGAUCAGGAGGAGCUGCAGAGGACGAAUCUAGAGCUGGAGUCGUAUAAGGAGAAGAUAUAGGAGAACCAAGAGAAGAUUAAGCUCAACAAGCAACUCCCUUACCUGGUCGGCAACAUUGUGGAGAUUCUUGAGAUGAACCCUGAGGAUGAGGCUGAGGAAGAUGGUGCCAAUAUUGAUCUGGACUCGCAAAGGAAGGGCAAGUGUGUCGUCCUGAAGACAUUGACACGGCAGGUAUGGCUUUUGGGAAGAACACAAAGCCUUGUUGGGUUCACUUGCGGCACCAGUAGUUUUAAUGGCGUCGAUGAUGAACCCUGAAUUACCCACCCAAGGUGACGCAUGAACAGCAACUCCAUGGACAUUGCUUUGUCACUUGGUUUAUGAUGUCUAUUGAUAUUGUAUCAUGGCCAAGCCUUGUCCAUUGUGGUUUGGAACUUCCUUCAUUUCAUGUAUAUUGUACUUUUGAACCCGUCCUUCAAAGAUAAGUGAAAAAAAAAAAAGAAACUGAACUUUUGUACCCGAAGGAGUGCUAACAAUUAAAUUCAAUUUUUCAGUAAGUUGAUUGUCUAUCUUAGGAAGAAGAGCUGAUGAAAGGAAGAUUUUCAAGGGGACUUGGACAAAGGCUUUCUUUAGCGGAAUCGAUUUCUUUUCUUUUCUUUUCCUUUCCUUUGGGGGUUGGGGGAUGAGGGAAAUGAGGAAUGCUGUUAUAUUGUAUGCUUGAUGCAGUUGGUAUCCCUUCCUAAAACUAGGAUUACGAAUAAUCAUUGAAAAAUUGACACAAUUUUUUUUUCAUCUGCCUUUCAUGAUUUUGCACUCUUAUCGUAUGAUCUUGUUAUUUAAGCUUUUCAAGGAGAUUGCUGAAACUCUACUAUCAUUGGAGCAGUUAUAAGUUAACUUGCUGUAUCCCAUUUUACCAGCCCCCGUUACUGAAGUUAAUUUUUUUGCUGUUAUAGAAUUCUGUCAGACGGUCUCUUGAUGGAUAUCCUAUCUCAGCCAUUUUGUGCUUUGAACAGAUAGUCAGUGUCCCUAGGCUAAUAGAUAGAAAAUAUUUACAGUUUUGUAGAAGAUAGAUAACCUAUUCGUUAAGUGCCUGAUUAACUGGAUGUUGGAGCUUCACAUACUUGCACUGCUAGAGGACAGAAAUAUCUGAAUUUUUUAUUUCCUGCGAAGGAAUGGUUCCUGGAAGGUUGAUGUAUCUGUUUGUUACUGUGAAGACUAUUCUAUUUACUUAUUGAUGCCAAUAGUAGAUGUUAUUAUCAUGCUCA